CCUACGGGAGGCAGCAGUGAGGAAUAUUGGACAAUGGCCGGAAGGCUGAACCAGCCAUGCCGCGUGAAGGUCAGUGCCCUAUGGGCUUUAAACUUCUUUUGUGCGGGAGCAAUAAUGGUCACGUGUGGCCAGACGAGAGUACCGUACGCAUAAGCAUCGGCUAAGUCCGUGCGAGCAGCCGCGGUAAUACAGGGGAUGCAAGCGUUAUCCGGAUUUAUUGGGGUUAAAGGGUGCGUAGGCUGUGAGGUAAGUCAGCGGUGAAAUGCCCAUGCUCAACGGGGUGAAGUGCCAUUGAUACUGCCUUGCUGGAGUGCGGAUGAGGUGAGAGGAAUGUGAGGUGUAGCGGUGAAAUGCAUAGAUAUCACACAGAACACCGAUUGCGAAGGCAUCUCACGAAUCCGAGAUUGACGCUGAUGCACGAAAGCGUGGGUAUCAAACAGGAUUAGAUACCCCUGUAGUC
rnacentral:rRNA from 1 species